GCUAGGAGCGGUUACAUUCGUUCAGUGAAGACUCCAAGCGGCGGCAGCAGCAGCGACUUGGAGCCUGAAGGAGCAAGGGAGGGAAAGGCUGCAGCUCGCCCGGCUCUUUCUCUCUCUCUGCCACCUACUCAGCGGCAGCAGCACUCCAAGCCAAGGGGCCCCUGCCUGUCUCUCGCUGGGUCUGCCCGCUUGCCACCCAGCGCUGGGCACGCACUGCAGAUCUCCAGUGGAAGAAGCACGAAAAGGGGAGAUUUUGAUGCUAGGAGCCCCCCUCCGCCCCAUCUCUGCACACAGCGGGGACAGCACCCCCGCGCCGGGGGCGGGCAUGGAACCCUGCGGAUGCGCUUUCCAGGGGCUCCGGGAGCUGAUACUCGAAGUGGAUUUAUAGAGCGAAGCUUCCCUUCGCCAUCCCUGCACAGCCCGGGCCGGUGGCCGCACGGAUUGCACGCGCCGGGGACCAGGGAGCACAAUCAGAGACCCAGGGGGAUCCUCCUGGCGGAGGCCGGGUCCCUUCUCCCCUUUAAUCGCCCCCAUCUCCAGUUCUGCUCGGUUUUUAUUUUACGCGAUCCCCAGGCGCGGUGACCGUGGAUGGCGCACUGGAUCCAAAGCGGAGUUGGCAGUUUGAGUGGCGUCUUGCAAGCCAGCCGGGAGCUCCCAAAGAGCAGGGCGGACUGAGGCGUUUGCAUUGGUGGUGGCGUUGUUACUUCGGAGGUGGCUGGAUUCUUAUCUCGCCGGAGAAUUUCCGACAUGCCUGGGGCACAAAUGACUCAGUAACGCUGCUUGCAGUUCUCACCAAGUGCUUCGUCGCUCGUCUUGUUGUUGGUUUGUUUCCGGUCAAUCUUUCUUGCUGGGGGAUACCGAGCGUCCACCCGCCCCCGCUGACCAGGUACGGGGAGUCGCACGGAGGAGUUGGCGAGGUUUUGGCAAGGGACUUGGAGCCGCUUUCGACCAUGGCUGUGCGGAGGGGAGACUCCUCCCUUUGGAAGUACUGCUGGGGAGCUUUGAUGGUUUUAUGCAGAACUGCAAUGGCCAGAUCGGUAGUUUUAGACCCGAUAUAUUGGAAUUCCUCCAACCCCAAAUUCCUUCCUGGACAAGGACUGGUACUAUACCCACAAAUAGGAGACAAACUGGAUAUUAUAUGCCCAAAGGUGGACUCUAAAACUGUUGGCCAGUAUGAGUAUUAUAAGGUCUACAUGGUUGAUAAAGACCAAGCAGAUAGCUGUACUAUUAAAAAGGGCAACACACCUCUACUCAACUGUGCCAAGCCAGAUCAAGAUGUUAAAUUUACCAUCAAGUUUCAAGAGUUCAGCCCUAACCUCUGGGGCCUGGAAUUUGAGAAGAAAAAAGAUUAUUACAUUAUAUCAACAUCAAAUGGGUCAUUAGAGGGCCUGGAUAACCAGGAGGGAGGGGUGUGCCAGACAAAAGCCAUGAAGAUCCUCAUGAAAGUUGGACAAGAUCCCAAUUCUGCUGGAUCACCCCGUAAUACGGGUCCAACUAAACGUCCCGAACAAGAAGCUGGUACCAAUGGAAAAAGCUCCACAACGAGUCCAUUUGUAAAGGAUAAUUCAGGAUCCAGCACAGAUGGCAGUAAGGCUGGACAUUCCAGUAUACUUGGUUCAGAGGUGGCCUUAUUUGCAGGGAUUGCAUCAGGGUGCAUCAUUUUCAUCGUCAUCAUCAUCACUUUGGUGGUUCUUUUAUUGAAGUACCGGAGAAGACACAGGAAGCAUUCACCCCAGCACACUACAACUCUGUCACUUAGUACGUUAGCCACCCCAAAACGUAGUGGCAACAACAAUGGUUCUGAGCCAAGUGACAUUAUCAUUCCUCUAAGGACUGCAGACAGUGUUUUUUGCCCUCACUAUGAAAAGGUCAGCGGAGACUAUGGACAUCCAGUGUAUAUAGUUCAAGAGAUGCCUCCUCAGAGUCCAGCAAACAUUUAUUACAAAGUCUGACAAACUGUGGUACCUUUGAGUUAUAGAGGAAACUUACUGGUCAGAUGCUUUCUGUUGGGGUUUGUGAUGACCCCCUUGUGCACUAGUAUUGACUCAGGCACAGGGGGAAAGGGCAACACCCUUUUCUCAGAGAGCCUUCUUGAGCUGGACAGCUUAUCUAGUCUGUAGAAUUCCUGUCUCAGUGAACAAACAUUCACUAAAAGCUGGAAGACUUUCCGUAGAAGAUACCCAUUCUCUGAUUGCUGUAUUCUUGUUACAUUCAUCAUCCUCGAAGCCAUGUGCUGCAGGCAUCCAGGCAUAUACAAAAGCCAAGGGAAGAUGGAGUGAUUUGUGGACGUUUAAUAGAUCUAGGCAUCCUGGGAAGGUGCUCUAGGAUAUCAGGCUUGAAAUGCAAUCUUACGACUUUUUGUGUCUCUCUCUCAGUGCAGACUGGAUUUGUCACACAGACCUCGGCAUCUAACCUGUCAUAGGUUUGAAAUCUGCUUUAGUUCCACAUUGCAAUUAGCCCCCAGAAAAUGAAAAUUAUGAAAAUCACAUUCCACAUCUGUUUCAAACUGAAUUUGUUCUUAAAAAAAUAAAAUAUUUUUUUCCUAUGGAAAUCUUGCCUUCUAAGUAUUUUCUUUAGUUUUUGAUUAUUUAUUUUUUUCCUUUUUCUUAGUUUUCUUUUUCUUUUUUUUAAAAAAAAUUCUCCACAGCUUUAUAGGGAGAACUUAAGUCUACUUUUGUUUCAAAUUAGGGCCCUGAUCCUGCAACCUGAUUCGUAUUGGCUGAUCACUAUGCCCACAUGGAGCCCCACUGAAGUCAGUGGGUGCCAUUAAGGCAUAGGGGCCUACUAACAUGGAUCAGCUUGUGGAAUGAGGGCCUGGUGUCUUACUUGCAGACACUUAACUUGAAGUCAGUGGGAUUUCUCAGUGUCCCAGUGCUCACAAUACUUAACUACAUGUUUAUCAUUACUAUCGGUGAGUAGUCCUAGUGAAAUCAAUGGGACUAUUCAUGUCAAUAAAGUUAAAGUGCAUAAGAUUUCCCAGGAUUGGGUCCUAUGACAUACAAGCUAACACAAGCCUUAAUACAGAAUAUGUGGGUGUGCUGCUCUAUAAUUUUCACUUAAACAACUGACACCCACAUUUAACAAAUACUGUCAUUUUUUUCACAAAGCCCAGUCACCAUGAAAGCACAUAAUUUGAACAAUCAUCUGUAGAGUAAUAUAUGGGGAGGUCUGAGGAGGGGAAAGAUGCCUUUGUCACUUUAACAAUUGAUGCCAAGUUGUCUUAAGAGUUUCCAUUCGAGAAAGGCAGCUAGUUAUUCAUAGCUUUUGGUCGUGUAAUUCCCAUUUGUCAAAUUAUUUGUCUUUGCUGAAUAAUCAAGGAAAGAAUGGUUGACAGAUGAAAAGUAAACUUAUAAGUGAAGCAUGAGAUGCAGUGACACUUUUUUUAUACUGGACUUGAGGGAAGCCCUAGAGAAUGUCAGUGACUUUAAUUUGCUGUGCCAUAGACUCCCUGUAUGACCUUGAGCCAGUCACUUGGGCCCUGCUCCAGCAAAGCACUUAAGUAUAUGUAUAACCAAGCAUAUGAGUAGUCCCAUUGACUUCUCAGGCAAGUCACUUGGGCCUGAUCCUAUAAAAUCUUAUGCAUGUAGAUGAUUUUAUUUGGGACUACUUGUGCUUUAAGUUACGGGGAUGCUUUGCUGGCCCAGGGCUUUAGUCUCCCUGUCUUCACUCCCUAGUUGUAUAUGGGAUUAACAAUAUUUCAUUAUCUUACUAGGGUCUCAUGAGAGUAUACAUUCACCAUUGUGAGGUGCUGAGAUACUCUGCUGAUGGGGUGGGGGGCAUAUAAAUAAACAGAUAGACACUCCAUUCAGUCUGUUACAUUUCUUUUGGUGAAUGGUAUGUGCCUUAUAGAAGUACACCCAACAUAAAGCUGCUGACUUAGUCCAUCUUUUAUAACAUGCAGAGAAAAAAAAUGUACUUGUAUUUUUGCACUGCUGCUGACACUGCACUAUUAAUUAUCAAACAAGCACAAAAUCAAAAUUUACUGCCCUCAUUAUGAAGCCUGGUUCCCCAGUAGGAGUCUGUCUGAGUCAAUAGGCUCUGCUAAGUGGAAAAUAAAAUUAUAAUGUACAGUUGUUAUCCAUCUAAAGUGGAGUAAGAAUCUAUUACAUAAAAUAUUGUCUCACAGAGUAAGCAUAGCAAAAUGUUACUAUCUAUGUCUGAAGUGUUCUCUCUUUUGAACAUUGCAAUGUUGCAUCAAUCAAAUGCUCACUCAAUGAGUGACACACUUUGUUUCCAUGAACACUGUAAAUUCCCUUUCUGCAGAAAAUUUACUCAUUCAAAAACUGGUGUAAUAGCAACAGAAAUGAGAAAAGUCAAUAAAAUAUGGAAAACGACUUUUGAAGAAUGAUCUUGGUCUUUGUAGCCACCAAAGAUAAAAUUGGGAUGGGGGGCGGGAGGGGAGGCAACAAAUCCCGGUGUGGUAAAAUACAAAACCUACUGGUGACACAGUUGUUACUUCACUAUGAGAAGCAUCAGAUUGCAAGUAGGGUGAUGACUUUUUGAAAAAAGGAAGGGAGCUGGGAGUUAGAACUCUUUGGUUUUGUUGCCAGUGAUGGACUGCAUGGCCUUGGCUUGUUGACUCUUCUGUAGUUUGUAAAAUGAGAUUCUAUCUACAUACAAUUUAACUCACAGGCGUGCUCUGAGGCUUAAUUAAACAGGGCUUCAUGUUCCUCUUAGUAGUUGUCAGACAGGUAAUGGUGAUGAUGGAAAGAAGAAUGAUAGGAGGUGUGGUGUUCACAUGGCAUCUUCCUAUUUGUGCAUGGAACUUCUGCCCAUGCUGAAAGUGGGAACAGAGCCUAACAGCCUUGCCAAACAUGGGCACGGUUCUACCCACACAUGAUGGAGGUGGAGAGCAGGUCCUAAAGAAGGAUGGGGUGGAGCCGAGGGGGGAAGAAUCUGCUUGAGCAGUGCUGGGAAUGGCAGGGAGGGGUGCAGAGAAGAACCAGUAAUUGUGAGAGCAGUGGGGAGCCAAACUGGACCUAGAGGUCAGACCCAGUUCUGGGGGUAGCUGGACACAAGAGGUGCCAUUGCUGAUGAUAAUGGCAUGGUGCAGAUUUUGGAAAAGAUGUUGCAAAGCUGAACAGGACAUGGAGAAAAGUGCUGACACUGGAAAGGGAAAUCAGGAUUUCCAGGUGAUGGACUGUACUAUGAGCAGGGGGGGAAGCCAGGUUCUAGGCAGUUCUGCCAAUGGAUACUGGGAGGAGAGAAGGAACAUGCAGUUGAGAGGACAGUGGGAACCAGCAUUCAAAUAUGCCACAGUUAGGAUCGAAGUGAAAGCCAGUGGAAGAGAGAGGGUAGCCAGGAACUGGACUCAGCUGGAGUUACUAGAGAUCCAAAAGCCAAGCCCCCUUGCCACUUAGAUACUGAGCCCUGUGGGGCCUGGUCCGUGUUUUCAUACAUGUAUGGACAGUGUCUAUGGGUGCUGGCGGAAUACAACUAAUUAAACAAGAAGUAGGAAGGGCCUGCCUCAUCUCUCCAAUCUUUGGGUAUCAACGUGGGGAAAGUGAUUGUGUUGUACUCUCUGGCCAGAGCCUCAGCUGGUAUAAAUUAACGUUGCUCGGUUUAGCAUCUGGUUCAAUAUUCUCACAGUCCUGAAUUCUACACUCAUCCACAAUGCUGAUAUAGAUUUGAUUGUUUUAUGGCAUCCCAAGCCCCUCAAUGGGGAGAGAAUGCUUUAUAGAGGUGUCACUACACUUAGCACUACAAUUAGUGGACUGAAAACUAUAUUAAUAACAAUGUGUUUAUAAGUGAUAUUUAAUUUCCAUAAUAAUUGUAAUUUGUAUUUCAUUGGACAUAGA